GGGCUGAUGAAGGGCUGUGCCAAUCCCCCUCUGUGCUCUGCUCCUUGAAG
rnacentral:snoRNA from 1 species